rnacentral:sRNA from 1 species
GCGAGGCAGCAUCCUCAGCCUCUCGCUCUUGCGGGCGCCUAAAGCCCCGGACGCUACUGCUGACACGGGGCGCCACGAGUUCACCUACGCGCUGAUGCCGCACAAGGGCUCUUUCCAGGAUGCUGGCGUUAUCCAAGCUGCCUACAGCCUAAACUUCCCCCUGCUGGCUCUGCCAGCCCCCAGCCCAGCGCCCGCCACCUCCUGGAGUGCGUUUUCCGUGUCUUCACCCGCGGUCGUAUUGGAGACCGUCAAGCAGGCAAGGGGUGGGACGUGCUGGGGGCGGGGUUCCGAACUGGGCCCGCCCUCGGCCCCUCCCACCAGACGUGUUCCUCUGCAGGCGGAGAGCAGCCCCCAGCGCCGCUCGCUG